rnacentral:rRNA from 1 species
CCUACGGGGGGCAGCAGUGGGGAAUUUUGGACAAUGGGGGAAACCCUGAUCCAGCCAUGCCGCGUGAGUGAAGAAGGCCUUCGGGUUGUAAAGCUCUUUCGGCCGGGAAGAAAUCGCACAGGUUAAUACCUUGUGUGGAUGACGGUACCGGAAUAAGAAGCACCGGCUAACUACGUGCCAGCAGCCGCGGUAAUACGUAGGGUGCGAGCGUUAAUCGGAAUUACUGGGCGGAUUGCGUGCGAAGGCGGUUAAAUCCCCGGGCUCAACCUGGGAACUGCAUUUGUGACUGCGAGGCUAGAGUAUGGCAGAGGGGGGUGGAAUUCCACGUGUAGCAGUGAAAUGCGUAGAGAUGUGGAGGAACACCGAUGGCGAAGGCAGCCCCCUGGGCCAAUACUGACGCUCAUGCACGAAAGCGUGGGGAGCAAACAGGAUUAGAUACCCCGGUAGUC